CGCGACCGCGACGUUACGCGCGUGCGCGCCUGCGCGGCUUCGGUGAGCGGGCUUAACAGCCAGUAACAGCGGGGAGGACGGCGCACAUCGGGAUCCUGCAGCAGGAGAGAAGAACCCCUUCGGAACGCAGCAGACCACACUGAAAAGGGUGCAUCCACGGUGCGGUGCUCUGCAUCCCGGGUGGCGCCGAAGAUGUGGAGUGUCGGAGGUGGCAGAAGCGCCGCAGCUUGGGGCAUCUUCUGGACGAUGGGAUCUCCUACAUGAAUAGUGAAUACCGACUGAAGACGCCGUCUGCCUUAGAGGGUACAGUUCUUCAGAGGUUCCAUAUUGCGAUCAACCAUCAUAUAGUUAAGGUAAUUACAAUUGACUACAACCACCAACAUAUUCUGCUGCACUAUAUCUGUAUAUGCAAAGCUAAUUCUGCUAGGUAACUACAAUUGACUACAACCACCAACAUAUUCUGCUGCACUAUAUCUGUAUAUGCAAAGCUAAUUCUGCUAGGUAAUUACAAUUGACUACAACCACCAACAUAUUCUGCUGCACUAUAUCUGUAUAUGCAAAUCUAAUUC